AGCGAACGCUGGCGGCAGGCUUAACACAUGCAAGUCGAACGGGCACUUCGGUGCUAGUGGCAGACGGGUGAGUAACACGUGGGAACGUACCUUUCGGUUCGGAAUAAUACAGGGAAACUUGUACUAAUACCGGAUACGCCCUUCGGGGGAAAGAUUUAUCGCCGAUAGAUCGGCCCGCGUCUGAUUAGCUAGUUGGUGAGGUAACGGCUCACCAAGGCGACGAUCAGUAGCUGGUCUGAGAGGAUGAUCAGCCACACUGGGACUGAGACACGGCCCAGACUCCUACGGGAGGCAGCAGUGGGGAAUAUUGGACAAUGGGCGCAAGCCUGAUCCAGCCAUGCCGCGUGAGUGAUGAGGGCCUUAGGGUUGUAAAGCUCUUUUGUCCGGGAAGAUAAUGACUGUACCGGAAGAAUAAGCCCCGGCUAACUUCGUGCCAGCCGCCGCCGUAAAAC
rnacentral:rRNA from 1 species